ensembl:snRNA U6 U6 spliceosomal RNA
GUGCUCGCUUUGGCAGCACAUGUACUAAAACUGGAACGAUACAGAGAGGAUUAGCAUGGCUCCUGAGCAAGGAUGACAUGCAAAAUUCAUGACACGUUCCAUAUUUUU